UGGAUUAGGGUUGAGCAUGUUUAGAUGAACAUUUUGGUAUAUUGUUUGUCGAUUUUGGUGAAAUAAUGGUCUUGCUGGAAAUCACGAUGAUGAACACUUUGAGCAUGGCAUAAACCCUAAACUUUCGAACCCAGAAGUGUUUUUGAUUCUUCAAACCGCGUGUUGCAUGGUUUCACUAGUUUCUGGCCCAUGUAGCCAAUAGCCAGCUGACACAGCUUUAAGUUGGAACGCAGCGUUCCACUUAAUGAAUGCAUAAU
rnacentral:lncRNA from 1 species